GCGCCAUCGUAGGAAAUUAGACGUGACUCAUAUAUUCUUUCGGCUUCCUGAAGCGCGCCUCGUAAAGGAUCGACUAAGUUGGUUAGAGGAUGAUUCUUGAUAAAUUCGCGAUCUUCUUGUGAAAGUCCCGCCAUCUUGACGGGAUAAAAAGACCGUUGAGUUGGUGCGAGGUCAACUAGGAGUUGCAAGGGAGAAAAGUUCGGCUGGGUAUGCUAAUUUUUUAUGUGAUGAGUGGGAAGCAAACACGGGAACAAAAAUGCAGAAUUGUUAGGAAGUUAUGAUGUACGAUACUUGCGAGAGAAGAGAGCUUGCUGGGAACCGAUGCUGGUAUAUACUCAAAGGGAGGAUUAUGGUCAAAGGGUUGAUCUGGUUUGGCUUGGGUGCAGAACGCGAAUGUGGGAACGGAUAGAGCCGCCGAGCAAGGAUCAAUCCUAUUCAAUCGCGACGGAAUGGCAAUAUGAACAAAAUAGGGGGGUUGAGGCUGUAUUUGGCCAGCUAACCCUGGAAACCAACCCCUGCGUGUUGGUUAUAUCACAGUUG
rnacentral:sRNA from 2 species